rfam:Otolemur garnettii contig066887, whole genome shotgun sequence.
AACUUUACACAGUAGCAGUCUUGUAGCCUAUGAGGUUUAUCCAAGAUGUGAUUAUUGCUAAUUGAAAACUUUUUAAAGCCCCUCCAGGAUGAAUUUGCAAUAUAGUCAGCCUUGGUUGUUUCUGACAAUCUCUGCAGAAA